AACGAACGCUGGCGGCAUGCCUAACACAUGCAAGUCGAACGAGACCUUCGGGUCUAGUGGCGCACGGGUGCGUAACGCGUGGGAACCUGCCCUUAGGUUCGGAAUAACUCCCCGAAAGGGGUGCUAAUACCGGAUAAUGUCUUCGGACCAAAGAUUUAUCGCCUUUGGAUGGGCCCGCGUUGGAUUAGCUAGUUGGUAGGGUAAAAGCCUACCAAGGCGACGAUCCAUAGCUGGUCUGAGAGGAUGAUCAGCCACACUGGGACUGAGACACGGCCCAGACUCCUACGGGGGGAAGCAGGGGGGAAUAUUGGACAAUGGGCGAAAGCCUGAUCCAGCAAUGCCGCGUGAGUGAUGAAGGCCUUAGGGUUGUAAAGCUCUUUUACCCGGGAGGAUAAUGACAGUACCGGGAGAAUAAGCGCCGGCUAACUCCGUG
rnacentral:rRNA from 1 species